AAAUAUAUGAAAAUUGAACAUCGUAAGAAAAAUAUAUUUAACGAUAAACCCAUCAUAGAUAAAAGCUCUAUCGAUCAGUUACCAGGUACCAGGUCUAUGUAUAAACCGACGUUAAACAUUUUUAAUGAGCCGAAUUCGGACCUCUAAUUUAGUGAACUGAUUAGCAGUCCCAGUUUAGGGAACUGUACAAUUUUAUGUAUG